AUUGAACGCUGGCGGAAUGCUUUACACAUGCAAGUCGAACGGCAGCACGGGAGCUUGCUCCUGGUGGCGAGUGGCGAACGGGUGAGUAAUGCGUCGGAACGUACCGAGUAAUGGGGGAUAACGCAGCGAAAGUUGUGCUAAUACCGCAUACGCCCUGAGGGGGAAAGUGGGGGAUCGUAAGACCUCACGUUAUUCGAGCGGCCGACGUCUGAUUAGCUAGUUGGUGGGGUAAUGGCUCACCAAGGCGACGAUCAGUAGCGGGUCUGAGAGGAUGAUCCGCCACACUGGGACUGAGACACGGCCCAGACUCCUACGGGAGGCAGCAGUGGGGAAUUUUGGACAAUGGGGGCAACCCUGAUCCAGCCAUUCCGCGUGAGUGAAGAAGGCCUUCGGGUUGUAAAGCUCUUUCAGCUGGAACGAAACGGUACGCUCUAACAUAGCGUGCUAAUGACGGUACCAGCAGAAGAAGCACCGGCUAACUACGUGCCAGCCGCCGCAGUAACAC
rnacentral:rRNA from 1 species